UACGUAGGUGGCAAGCGUUGUCCGGAAUUAUUGGGCGUAAAGCGCGCGCAGGCGGUUCCUUAAGUCUGAUGUGAAAGCCCACGGCUCAACCGUGGAGGGUCAUUGGAAACUGGGGAACUUGAAGACAGAAGAGGAGAGCGGAAUUCCACGUGUAGCGGUGAAAUGCGUAGAGAUGUGGAGGAACACCAGUGGCGAAGGCGGCUCUCUGGUCUGUGCUUGACGCUGAGGCGCGAAAGCGUGGGGAGCGAACAGG
rnacentral:misc_RNA from 1 species